rfam:Gossypium raimondii Chr10_contig_22, whole genome shotgun sequence.
UCUUAAAAUUUUCAUCUAUUUAUACUAUUAAAAACUAUUGUGCCUGGCGGAAAAACCAGACAGUGACACAUGAAGUGCCACAUGUAUAUUAUACUAACAUACAAAGAUCAAUUUUUAACAUUAAAAAUGGAUGGAAUUUUUAAAA